AGUAAAAGAGAAACUCGAAAAUAAAAGCUAUAAAUAUGACUACGGAGUCUUCAAGCAUCCCCUUCGCCGUCUUCCUGCGGAACGGGCUCGGGAACAAUGUCUUCCUGAUACGAAAUGAUUAAAUAAGGAAUGAGCUACACCAGCCCAGUAAAGACAUCACACUAUCUCACCGUUACGGAGGUAAAGGUGGGUAGAAAACACAAAAGAACCAAUGGAGCAUAGUUUACAACAAAACUCGUUUAUUAACAUAAAAACCUUUACUAUCCACUUAUCUCGGUGAAAUUCACAAAACAAUAUACGAAAGCAAUAACAUUAUCAUCAUCACGAAAUCAUAGAAACUGUAUAACAUAAUACUUAUCACGCGUUUUGCAUCUCAAUCAUUACACAACAUAUUUUUCCUUAUUUACUAGCCUAUUAGUAUCCAUGGGGAUCCAUAGGGGUCCCGCUACCCGUGAACCCUUAACACUUGUAAUUAGAUUCCAGGGCUGUCCCCAUACCCCAUCCGGUAUGGGCGCCAAAACUAUAAACCUCAAUACCCCAUCCGGUAUGAGGGUGAAACGGGCCGUCCCCAUACCUCGUCCGGUAUGGGUGCCAAAACACAUAAGAUCUCCAUACCUCGUCCGGUAUGAGAGACCACGAUCCCGGUAGGGUUCCCUACGGACCCGGUCCGUCCACCAUCUCCUAGGAUAUCUAGUCAGGCUGACCACAUUAUACAAUUAUCAAUUCAUA
rnacentral:lncRNA from 1 species